rnacentral:rRNA from 1 species
AAACAGUGGCUAAGACUGGAUAGGAAGAUAAAAGGCAUCUUUUAUCUUUUUAAAGACCUAGUAAUAGGUAUGCUUUAGGAGGGGCUUGCGCCAUAUUAGUUAGUUGGUAGGGUAAUGGCCUACCAAGACGAUGAUGUGUAGCUGGACUGAGAGGUUGAACAGCCACAUUGGGACUGAGACACGGCCCAAACUCCUACGGGAGGCAGCAGUAGGGAAUUUUCGGCAAUGGAGGAAACUCUGACCGAGCAACGCCGCGUGAAUGACGAAGUACUUCGGUAUGUAAAGUUCUUUUAUCAAGGAAGAAAAGCAAAUGGCGAACCAUUUGUUUGCCGGUACUUGAUGAAUAAGCCCCGGCUAAUUAUGUGCCAGCAGCCGCGGUAAGACAUAAGGGGCAAGUGUUAUCCGGAAUUAUUGGGCGUAAAGGGUGCGUAGGCGGUCUAGUAAGUCAGUGGUGUAAUGGCAACGCUUAACGUUGUCCGGCUAUUGAAACUGCUAAACUUGAGUUAGAUAGAGGCGAGUGGAAUUCCAUGUGUAGCGGUAAAAUGCGUAAAUAUAUGGAGGAACACCAGAGGCGUAGGCGGCUCGCUGGGUCUUAACUGACGCUGAGGCACGAAAGCGUGGGGAGCAAACAGGAUUAGAUACCCUGGUAGUCCACGCCGUAAACGAUGAGUACUAAGUGUCGGGUUAAACCGGUACUGAAGUUAACACAUUAAGUACUCCGCCUGAGUAGUACGUACGCAAGUAUGAAACUUAAAGGAAUUGACGGGACUCCGCACAAGCGGUGGAUCAUGUUGUUUAAUUCGAAGAUACCCGAAAAACCUUACCAGGUCUUGACAUGUUUUUGCAAAAUGAUAGUAAUAUCGUGGAGGUUACCAGAAACACAGGUGGUGCAUGGUUGUCGUCAGCUCGUGUCGUGAGAUGUUAGGUUAAGUCCUAAAACGAGCGAAACCCUUAUCGUUAGUUGCCAGCACGUUAUGGUGGGGACUUUAACGAGACUGCCAAUGAUAAAUUGGAGGAAGGUGAGGAUCACGUCAAAUCAGCAUGCCCCUUAUGACCUGGGCUACAAACGUGAUACAAUGGCUGUUACAAAGGGUAGCUGAAACGCAAGUUCUUGGCCAAUCCCCAAAAACAGUCCCAGUCCGGAUUGAAGUCUGCAACUCGACUUCAUGAAGUUGGAAUCGCUAGUAAUCGCGAAUCAGCAUGUCGCGGUGAAUACGUUGUC